UGCGCUUCUGCUCAGCUCGGUGU
rnacentral:miRNA from 1 species